UUAACUCAAAUUUGUAUGAAGUUGGAACGUUUGCCUAUGUUUGCCGCUAGGGACCCUGUUUCAGCUGCAUACACAUUUGAGUAA
rnacentral:pre_miRNA from 1 species